rnacentral:rRNA from 1 species
GUCCUCCUACGGGGGGCAGCAGUGGGGAAUAUUGGGCAAUGGACGCAAGUCUGACCCAGCAACGCCGCGUGAAGGAAGAAGGCUUUCGGGUUGUAAACUUCUUUUAAGGGGGAAGAGCAGAAGACGGUACCCCUUGAAUAAGCCACGGCUAACUACGUGCCAGCAGCCGCGGUAAUACGGAGGAUGCGAGCGUUAUCCGGAUUUAUUGGGUUUAAAGGGUGCGCAGGCGGCGUGUCAAGCAAGCGGUAAAAUAGCGGGGCUCAACCCCGU